rnacentral:rRNA from 1 species
UGCGUAGGUGGCCCGAUCAGUCAGAUGUGAAAGCCCCGGGCUUAACCUGGGAACUGCAUUUGAUACUGUCGAGCUAGAGUAUGGUAGAGGGAAGUGGAAUUCCGGGUGUAGCGGUGAAAUGCGUAGAUAUCCGGAGGAACACCAGUGGCGAAGGCGACUUCCUGGACCAAUACUGACACUGAGGCACGAAAGCGUGGGUAGCAAACA